ensembl:lncRNA
AUGACGUCAUUACGUCGAGCGUAAACGAACCGGUGAACCGGUUUUUUCAACCGGUUUAUUGAAUCGAAGUGUCCGAAAGAACCGGUUCGCGGAAAAGAACCGAACUCCCAUCACUAGACUGAGCAAGUGUAGGCCUAUGUAUUUCAAAAUUGUGUCUAGUACUAUAUAAAUUACAAAGGUUUAAUUGGCAUCUUUAUUUUCAAACGACCCGACCGACCGCGACCCGAAUAUCUUUAAAAAUGUUUUUGGAUGACUCGUAACCGCGGGUGACCAGGUACCCGAUCAUUUUGGAUCAACCCGCGCAUCACUGUGUUGUACCCCUAAAACUACAUCACUAAAUUCAUCAAAUCAAUUGUUAAUACUAACGUUUAUGUUGUUGUUUUCCCUCCAACAAGCUUUGCUUUGCUUUAAAGUUUGAUAAUAAUUUAAAAUGUCUCUCUAUAAUGCUGAUAAUGUUUCUCUGCAGUUUCAACAUCAACCACCACUGAAAAAACUACUUCAACAACCAUGAAAACCCCAUUAACUGUAAUGUCCACUUCUGAAACUACAACAUACAGUAAAACUAGUAAGUUGUCAAUAAUGACUUUUCUGGUUAUUCUAAAAUAAAUCUGAGAAAUGAUUUUCUUCUAAAAACUGAUUGCCCUUGCAAUGUUAUUUUUUAUUAGCAGACCUCCAAUUCAAGACAAACACGCCAAACAGUACGGCAAAGGAAACCAUGAGUAAGUUCAUCCACUCUUUCUCAAUGGUAAAAGUUACUAUGUAGAAUUAAUAUAAUUAAUAAUUCCUUACAUUUAUAUAGCGCUUUUCUGGGCACUCAAAGCACUUUACAUAGAAGGGGGUAUCUCCUCAACCACCACCAUGUUGGAUUAAAAAGUUCAAAUAUAGCUGGGAAUUAUUUUCAAAGCUUAUUUGUACAUCAGUAACUCAUAGUGGUUGAUCCUGAAUAUAAACAGUAAACACAGAGAAUUCCACAAAGUCAAGUCUCAUGAUUAUGCUGCUGAA